rnacentral:lncRNA from 1 species
GUGGCCUUAAAGUAGCCACACUGGAAGGUCUGUACCUCUCAUGGAUGUCAAAUCUUCCAUGGCUGCAUAGAUGGAGUUCCCUUCUCUCACCCCUCUGAAUCUAUACACUCUAGCUCCUCUCUGAAACUCCUGAGGCCAUAUGCAAUUAGGGCAGAAUUACGUACAACUGGUUGGUUGGAGUGGCUGAACACUCAGGUGAGGGUCCCAUGACUCUCCCUGCUCCCUCUUUCUGUUAGGGAAGGUCACUAUCUUUUGCCAGCAGACACAGCUGAACUGAUGAAGAUGGUGUCUGUUUAGCUCAGAGGGUAGUCCUAUACAACAGUGUUCUCUAGGACAGGGUUCCCUGAAAGGCAGAGUCCCUGCUUCCCCACCAGCCUAGCAAACAGUCUAGUCUGUUUGCUAUUACUAUUAGCAAAACACCCAAGAUCAGCGAAUGGAAAAAGUUUAUGAGAAAGACAAAAGAGGGCUGAACUACCUGGUCAGCUAAGCCAUUACCAGGAGAAAGAGAUCAAUCCAUUCCGGGAGCUCUCUAUGCUGACCCAAGGCUCUCUCUCCUACCAGGCCCCAUCUCCCAGCAAUUUACUGUUGUGUAAAAUUCAGGAUCCUGACAUAUGUGUUUAGGGGAUGCACUCAGCCACAGGAGGAGGUUUGGAAAAAGUAGAAGCACAGACGCUAUAGUCAGUGACUGUCCUAGCCACUGUCUCGACCAUCACAAGCGCCCUAGCCUAGCUUACCCGGAUGCUCAUCCAUGGAUGCUGCACUCUCUAGAACACACAGCAAAAAUGUGGCUCAAGCACGAUAAAGCCUUUGACCAAGCCACGGAAGAAGUCCGAGAAAGGCUAAAGGAUGCAGGGACUGGUUUUGCUUUAGGUGGAGGGUCAGUUUACGGCCUGCCCAACCCAGCCCUGGCCUCAUCUUCGAGCCUCAGAGGGAAGCCUGUCUGUCACAUGGACCUACAGUUGCCACCAAUAACCAGCAUCCAUACCACGUCUGCAUGUACCAGUGCGAUAGAUGACAGAAGGUGA